AUGGCCACCUGCCUCUCAGACAUGAUUAGUGACCAUUCCCUUGAUUUCCUGGGCCUACAAGAAACUAUGAAGAAAAACUUCUCCCCUAAGUGCUUGAGGAGAAUUGAUCCCUUUGGAUCCUUCCAUUGGAACUGGAUUCCUUCUGUUUUGAAAUCUGGCGGCAUCCUAUGUGGUGUGAGGUGUGACAAGCUAGAUAUCAUCUCCUGUGUUAAGGGGAAACAUAUGCUACAAUUAGUGUUGCUGGACAGACCGAAGAAGUUGAAGUGGGGUUUGAUAGUAGUUUAUGGUCCAGCUCAUGAAGAAUUUAAAGGGGAUUUUUUGGUCGAACUAGCUGCCAUUUGUAUUGGGAUGCAAGUGCCCUACAUUGUUGGAGGCGAUUUUAAUAUCCUGAGAUAUUCUGGUGAAAAGAACAAGAAACUUAACAAUCAUAAAUCUUCGGAUCUGUUUAAUUCUAUCAUCAAUACCUUAGCUCUUCGUGAGAUCCACAUUAAUGGGGGUAAGUAUACCCGGACGAACCAACAGGCCCACCCCACUUUGCAAAAACUGGAUCGUAUCCUCAUGUCUGAAGAUUGGGAAGACAUGUUUCCGCUUGUCUCUAUUCGAAAACUAGUUCGUGAGAUAUCUGAUCACAAUCCUUUGCUUAUAUCCACG
rnacentral:rRNA from 1 species